rnacentral:rRNA from 13 species
AAUCAGCGGGGGAAGAAGACCCUGUUGAGCUUGACU